rnacentral:rRNA from 1 species
CGUGUAGGCGGUCAGGUAAGUGGAAUGUGAAAUGCCCCAGCUCACCCGGGGACCGGCAUCCCAAACUGCCUGGCUUGAGUAUGGGAGAGGAUGGAGGAAUUCCUGGUGUAGCGGUGAAAUGCGUAGAUAUCAGGAGGAACACCGGUGGCGAAGGCGUCCAUCUGGCCCAAUACUGACGCUGAGGCGCGAAAGCUAGGGGAGCAAACG